rnacentral:tRNA from 1 species
GUGUAUGUAGCUUAGCUCUAAAGCAUGAUAUUGAAGAUAUUAAGACAGAUAUUCAUCUCAGACACA